GACCUCCACACUGCCCUGCCUACCUCUAUAAACAUUAUAUAUAUGUUAUGGCACGAGUUCGGGGAAACGCACGACAGAGGCGAGGGUUGUAACAGUUUGAAUGUUUAUUUGAUAGAAAUGAGCAGAGGCUGGUUGAUGCAGUAGGCCACCCGGGUCGGUGUAGGAUCUAGGAAGGCGGUGGAGGAAAUGCACCGUGGUGGUGAGAUGGUCUUGACAGGAGCAGAGGGUUAGAACCCGACUCGAAAAGAACAGAGAUACAUAGAGACCAGGGGGGUAUACCACGAACCUCGCUGAACAUACCCAGGCUUUCUUGGGAAAACCUGGCUCGACAGAGCCGCAACUCGCAAUCCGAGUUAAAUGGUACCACGAAGCUCACUUUAGAUUAAAUUAGUUGAACCAGGUUUUCCGCUUUAGGUUCAAUGCGCGUUCACAUAAAAGGGGCGUUUAUCGCGUCAUUUGUUAUGCAAAAUGAAUCGAGCGAGAGCGGUGUAUUUCACUCAAGACGAGCAAUGCAUCAUUAUGAAUUCAUACGAGGAAUUUAAACUACAAAUUACAGCCAAGGGGAACACGGUUGCCCAUAAUAAGGCUAGGGUUGCGUGCUGGCAAAAAAUAGCCGACCGUGUUAAUUCGUAAGUGAAAAGAUUCUGCAUAUUGUCUAAAAAAUAUCAUGUAGGCCUAUCAUCAUGCCUUUUACCCCCAUAGAUGUGGUGCCAGCACGCUCCUACGAACAUGGGGCCAAGUCAAAAAUAAAUAUAAAAAUAUAAUUCAAUGUGCUAAGUUGUAAGCAUCCAUUUUAAUAAUUUCAGGUGAAUCUAGCCUAUGAUUUGCAUUGGCCUAGGCUACAACCUUUAAUCUAAUGUUGAUUACCUGUAGCAAAUAAAAAGAAAACACAAAUGAAUACGACUGGUAGGGGGACCGCCCUUCACCACCUCGGAGGAGCUGGCUCUUGCCAACAACAAAGGUCGGCCGAUGAUGGUAGGAGUGGAAGGGGGGAUGUCCUCUGACCCCACUGCCUCGACAUCCAAGGCGUUUGUAAUGAGUAUGUAUUCAUGUAUUGGCAAUGGACAUAAAUAAUUGUCUUGCUAAUCAAAUGUGAAAUGAUUGAGUGUAAAUUAAUCGUGUCAUUUUUAGUUGAAGGUACAAACAUUAUUUUGGAGGAGCCGCCGACAAUUAAUCUCCAAUCAGAGGAGACACUGUCGGCCUGUGACUCCAGGGCGACUAUGGAGAGGGAAAUGGCAUUGGAUGAGCCAUCCACCUCCACCUCAACCUUCUCGAGGGACAGACAAGGUU